AUUGCCUCAGUAACGGCGAGUGAAGCGGCAACAGCUCAAAUUUGAAAUCUGGCCCCAGGCCCGAGUUGUAAUUUGCAGAGGAUGCUUUUGGCGCGGUGCCUUCCGAGUUCCCUGGAACGGGACGCCAUAGAGGGUGAGAGCCCCGUCUGGUCGGACACCAAGCCUCUGUAAAGCUCCUUCGACGAGUCGAGUAGUUUGGGAAUGCUGCUCAAAAUGGGAGGUAUAUGUCUUCUAAAGCUAAAUACCGGCCAGAGACCGAUAGCGCACAAGUAGAGUGAUCGAAAGAUGAAAAGCACUUUGAAAAGAGAGUUAAACAGCACGUGAAAUUGUUAAAAGGGAAGCGUUUAUGACCAGACUUGGGCCGGUUAAUCAUCCAGCGUUCUCGCUGGUGCACUUUGCCGGUCCAGGCCAGCAUCAGUUCGCUGCGGGGGAUAAAGGCGUCGGGAAUGUGGCUCCUCGGAGUGUUAUAGCCCUUCGCGCAAUACCCUGUGGUGGACUGAGGUUCGCGCUCUGCAAGGAUGCUGGCGUAAUGGUCAUCAACGACCCGUCUUGAAACACGGACCAAGGAGUCGUCUUCGUAUGCGAGUGUUCGGGUGUAAAACCCCUACGCGUAAUGAAAGUGAACGCAGGUGAGAGCUUCGGCGCAUCAUCGACCGAUCCUGAUGUUCUCGGAUGGAUUUGAGUAAGAGCAUACGGGGCCGGACCCGAAAGAAGGUGAACUAUGCCUGUAUAGGGUGAAGCCAGAGGAAACUCUGGUGGAGGCUCGCAGCGGUUCUGACGUGCAAAUCGAUCGUC
rnacentral:rRNA from 1 species